GACCUGAGUUUAGGAUUUCACUCUCUUCGGACCGUGUUCCACGCAAUACAGUAGCACGAGUUCCUGCAAAUUCUGUUUUGGUCAAACUCCUAAGUUAAACUUAGAAAUUCGUACAGACACGACUUCUGAGGUCCCGGUGUAAUGACUCAUGGCACUUGGUGUUCAACGUAAACCAGACCAAAUGUGAACAUGCAUUGCUAGUAACGAAUACCUGAACCAGCAGUGGAUAAUGACUAUGUAGAAUGUCUGCAAUAUAAAGUGCAACGUUUGAAA